UCCAUUCUAACUUCAUGGAAGCAAGAAACAAUUGCAGCCAGUUGUAUGCUUUCGCUAGCCCCCCUUGAAAGCCUGUACUCGAUAUCUGCAAGGCGCCUCAUAAGUAACGGAACAACUUCAUCAGGCCAAUUUGCUUCCAUUGACUUGCUGUAAAGACCAUUUACGAAAUCUUGGGUAGAAUAUCCGUUCUCAUUCUGGGAAUUUUGAAGUGCACUAAAGCCACUUGAAAAACUCUCUCUUGAGAGAAUUCCAAAUAUAUAAUCCAAUUCACUCUUUGUGGGUAUCCCAAGAAUUCUGUGAAUCAUUUCUUCAUUAAUAUAUGUGAUAAGUCCUUCAAUAGAUGCCCCAUUUAGUUCUCCAGAAUCUUUAUGUUUUUCAAUGUUUCCGUAAUUACUCAUGCUGCACGACUGCAAUACAUUUAAAACUUUCCUCAUGUCUCCCCUUGAAGACUUUAUGAGCGACUCUUGACCUUCUCGAGUUAUAAAAAUCCUCUCUGACAGAGCAAUUUCUGAUAUUCGAUUCCUAAUAUCCUCAAUAGGAAGUGGGGAAAAUCUAAACCGUGUGCAUCUACUUUGCAAUGCAGGAGUUAUUUUAUUAACAUAGUUGCAAAUGAUGCAAAAUCUAACGUGUUCGGAAUAACGCUCCAUUAUUCUUCUUAGUGCCAUUUGAGCUGUGCUUGUCAUCAUAUCUGCCUCAUCUAGAAUAAUUAACUUAAUAUUCUCACACAAGCUUUUAUUACAGUCUAAAUUUCUUGUGCUUACAUCAGACAUUUCUAUAUCUUCAAUAUUUGAAUUUGUUCCACCUGAGUGAUUUAAUGUCGUUGAUGCACUUUCUGAAAAACUUUUGAUUGCAUCCCUUACAACAUUUAUGCCACGGUCGUCUGAUGCGUUGAGUUCCAACACCAUCUGAUACUUUCUAUCUUUGUAAAUACAUUUGCUAAUUGCAUGUAUAGUUGAAGUCUUUCCAGUUCCAGGAGGUCCAUGGAAUAAAAGAUGUGGAAGCUGGCCAGAACUAAUAAAUUUUUCGAUAGUGUUAAUUAUAUCUUUGUGCGACAGCAAGUCCUGUAGUCCUGAAGGCCUAUACUUUUCAACCCACGGUAAUUGAGCUUCCUCCAUUUUGAAAGUGAACCUCAGUUAUUGCAAUAGAAAUUCGAAGAAUAGAGACAAUUUUUAUCUAUUUAAUAGUAAUUUGUUUUCAAACAAGGGCAACUUUAUAUUCCUACUGACAAAUAAUAAAGUUAGUACCGCUCAUAAAAUUUAACGAGGGAAAUAAUCAUAUUUUUAACUACAAAAUUCGUUUGUAGCUUAAAAAAAUAUAAUAGAUUAAAG
rnacentral:antisense_RNA from 1 species